rnacentral:rRNA from 1 species
GGAGUUAGCCGGUGCUUCUUCUGCGAGUAACGUCACAGAUGUAAGGUAUUAACUUACACCCUUUCCUCCUCGCUGAAAGUGCUUUACAACCCGAAGGCCUUCUUCACACACGCGGCAUGGCUGCAUCAGGGUUUCCCCCAUUGUGCAAUAUUCCCCACUGCUGCCUCCCGUAGGAGUCUGGGCCGUGUCUCAGUCCCAGUGUGGCUGAUCAUCCUCUCAGACCAGCUAGGGAUCGUCGCCUAGGUGAGCCUUUACCUCACCUACUAGCUAAUCCCACCUGGGCUUAUCCAUCAGCGCAAGGCCCGAAGGUCCCCUGCUUUCCCCCGUAGGGCGUAUGCGGUAUUAGCAGUCGUUUCCAACUGUUAUCCCCCACAAAUGGGCAAAUUCCCAGGCAUUACUCACCCGUCCGCCGCUCGUCAUCUUCAAAGCAAGCUUUUGAAAUGUUACCGCUCGACUUGCAUGUGUUAGGCCUGCCGCCAGCGUUCCAAUCUGAGCCAUGAUCAAACUCUGA